CUUAACACAUGCAAGUCGAGCGGUAACAUUUCUAGCUUGCUAGAAGAUGACGAGCGGCGGACGGGUGAGUAACACUUAGGAAUCUACCUAGUAGUGGGGGAUAGCACGGGGAAACUCGUAUUAAUACCGCAUACGACCUACGGGAGAAAGGGGGCAUCUUGAUGCUCUCGCUAUUAGAUGAGCCUAAGUCGGAUUAGCUAGAUGGUGGGGUAAAGGCCUACCAUGGCGACGAUCUGUAGCUGGUCUGAGAGGAUGAUCAGCCACACCGGRACUGAGACACGGUCCGGACUCCUACGGGAGGCAGCAGUGGGGAAUAUUGGACAAUGGGGGMAACCCUGAUCCAGCCAUGCCGCGUGUGUGAAGAAGGCCUUUUGGUUGUAAAGCACUUUAAGCAGUGAAGAAGACUCWWYGGUUAAUACCCRKWGACGAUGACAUUAGCUGCAGAAUAAGCACCGGCUAACUCUGUGCCAGCAGCCGCGGUAAUACAGAGGGUGCAAGCGUUAAUCGGAAUUACUGGGCGUAAAGCGAGCGUAGGUGGCUUGAUAAGUCAGAUGUGAAAUCCCCGGGCUUAACCUGGGAACUGCAUCUGAUACUGUUAGGCUAGAAUAGGUGAGAGGAAGGUAGAAUUCCAGGUGUAGCGGUGAAAUGCGUAGAGAUCUGGAGGAAUACCGAUGGCGAAGGCAGCCUUCUGGCAUCAUAUUGACACUGAGGUUCGAAAGCGUGGGUAGCAAACAGGAUUAGAUACCCUGGUAGUCC
rnacentral:rRNA from 1 species